AACAUCAUUUUUAUUAUCGCCUGUGACAGUACUAUCAGGAGAUUGUGAUUCUUUAUGAAUUGCUUUUUCCAUGUGGAAAUAAUCUUUCAAUGUUUUUUCCCCAUAUCGGUACUGUUCGAAGCGUAGAUAGACUUAAAGAACGUUGCUGGGCGCCUGGUGUUGAUAUCUUACAUGAGAUACUGGGAAUCAGCUGUAUCUACAUCU
rnacentral:snoRNA from 11 species